AUUGAACGCUGGCGGCAUGCCUUACACAUGCAAGUCGAACGGUAACGCGGGGCAACCUGGCGACGAGUGGCGAACGGGUGAGUAAUGUAUCGGAACGUGCCCAGUUGUGGGGGAUAACUGCUCGAAAGAGCAGCUAAUACCGCAUACGACCUGAGGGUGAAAGCGGGGGAUCGCAAGACCUCGCGCAAUUGGAGCGGCCGAUAUCAGAUGAGGUAGUUGGUGGGGUAAAGGCUCACCAAGCCAACGACCUGUAGCUGGUCUGAGAGGACGACCAGCCACACUGGGACUGAGACACGGCCCAGACUCCUACGGGAGGCAGCAGUGGGGAAUUUUGGACAAUGGACGCAAGUCUGAUCCAGCCAUGCCGCGUGCGGGAAGAAGGCCUUCGGGUUGUAAACCGCUUUUGUCAGGGAAGAAACGCUCUGGGUUAAUACCUCGGGGUAAUGACGGUACCUGAAGAAUAAGCACCGGCCAACUACGUGCCAGCAGCCGCAGUAACAC
rnacentral:rRNA from 1 species